CACAAGAAGCAUUUGCAAAAGAGGAAACGCUCACUUUUGCGCCACGCUUGGCUGCGUAGACUUGAAAUUCCACUUCGCAGGUGAAUAAGUUGUUAAGGGUCAAGGCUACUAGUUUAUAGUUACCGAGUGUUGUUAAAUAAUACUGGUAAUGACAUUGCUGUGAGUUAAACAAUCCAAGACGAAGAAAUUGUGCGAUGCCUACGAGUAAGACAUUUUUCAACUAAUCAGGCGGCAGUAGAGUCACACAAACUAUGAGUUCGGAGAAUAUUUCAGCAUUGGGGCAUUACAAAACAGUUCAGAGCGAUAAAAGAAGACCGGCCUCAAAAAAGUAUCACCCUCUAYRUUCUAGAAACCAUGUGACACACUGAACGGUGUAGACUCUAGAGCGAAACAUGGUUGUUGUAAAUUUGAGCUAAAUUGUUUAAAAACUGCAAAGACCCAAACGAAAAAAACCAAUAAAAUUUUAAAAUUUCU